UCCUUUCUAAAGAGAGAGAAAAAAAAAAGCCAACUCUCUUCAAACACACACUCCCCACCACCACACGCUCACACACAACGAAAUGGAGACUGUGAAGAGAGGCAAGACCGUCCUCGGCCUGGAAAUCAAUCUGAUUCUCUUUUAUGUUGGUGCUGCUCGUGCCUGUAUAGUCUCGGUCUCUCAACCACAGUACCUCGAAGUGGACCACACCCAAGAAGCCAUAACCAUUCAGUGUUCCUACUCCCAUGUGGGGUGCCCCGCAGAGCAACCAAGAAGCCUGUGGUUUCGCUAUGGAGCUCACCAGCCGGAGAACCUCUGCUUGGAUGGAUGCACCAGCGAUGCGGGCAAGUUCACAGUGAAGGAAGCCCUGACACAAAAUCAGGUUUCCCUCACUGUGAACAGGGUGACUCUCAACGACAGUGCCAUCUACAUCUGUGGAAUAGUCCUUCCCUUUUCAAAGGAACCAGGAGCCAAGCGGACCGGAGAAGGGACCAUGCUGGUGGUGAGAGAAAUGAAGGGGCUCCACAGUCUCCUGAUAGCUGUUCUAUCACUGCUCUCUAUCUACAUGACUGUUGUUCUCGGGAUCUUCGUGGUCCUCUCCAAAUCAAAAUCUAACUCUCUAAGAAACAAAGAAACAGAAGACUCACAAAAGGAGAAAGGCAACACUUAUGAAUAAAGAAGAGCACUUUCUAACAUGAAAAGCCACAGAAAUGUUUUAAUUUUCAAUGAAGUCACUGAAAAUCCGAAUCCAGAAGCCGUGGCAGUGUUAAUGGACACACAGGGCUUUACAAAAACAAUCACAGUCGUGUGUUCUCCUGGGUGUAAAGCCCCACUUUGAGACCACUGACCUGGAUGAAAUAAAUGAAUUUCUAAGCUACAUGGCAAAAAAAGGUAAGCAUUAUCUAGGUGAAUAGAAAGAGGUGGAUUAGAGAAUUUACUUUUCCUUUCUGGGAGUCCUUACAUUUUGGUACUCCCAGGGCUGAAAAUCUGCUGUUCUUUGUGUAACUUAAUGAGAAGACAAAAUCCCUGAGCUACAUCAGUAUUUGAUUUAGAAGAAGCCUUACCCAACACAAGCAAGGGCUGUGUCUCCAAGAUUGUUGUUGAAGCUCAAAUUCAGAAUACGUUCUCCUUUGGAAAAGUAGUUACAUUCCCUCAGGUCAUACAUCACAGUGAAUGAUGUAUAUAUUAAUAUCAUCCUUUUAUUCACCCAUCUAACCAACAACAGCUGUUAGGUGCUACACUAUUUUUUUUUUUAAUUUUUUUUUUUAACAUUUAUUUAUUUUCGAGACAGAGAGAGACAGAGCAUGAACGGGGGAGGGUCAGAGAGAGAGAGAGAGACACAGAAUCUGAAACAGGCUCCAGGCUCUGAGCAGUCAGCACAGAGCCCGACACGGGGCUCGAACCCACAGACAGUGAGAUUGUGACCUGAGCCAAAGUCGGAUGCUUAACCGACUGAGCCACCCAGGCGUCCCGGUGCUACACUAUUAUACAGUCAAAGGCCUUUCUUUCAUGCCACCCUUGGAUCACACUGACCUUGUCCUUCCCUAAUCCCACCUUGCUCACACUCUCCUGCUUUUGCAUGUACUGUUCUCUCUGCCUGGUAAAAUACUUCCCAGAUACAAACACAGCUGAAAUGUCACCUCCUACAUGAAACCUACCAUAACCUCCCCUAGCUCUUAAUGGGUCUUUCCUUCUCUAAACCCAGAGUACUCUGUCACAUUUCUUAUCAGAUUAUCCUGCCACUGUCUGCUUACAUUUAUCUUCUGUAUGAUUCUUCAAGUAUCUUAAGACCAGAAGCAAGUUUUACAUUAUCUUUGUAUUUCCACUGUCCAGUGUUCGUUGCCUGGUAAAAACUAGGCUCUCCAACACCUUUAUGUGAAAACAACUGAAUGCUGUUUCUAUAGAAAAAUAUUUUUUCAGCCCGUCAACUGAUAUAUGAAGCACACUUCACUCCCUGGCCAUCGAUCCUCACCCCUCUCCAUAAGCAGUGUUUGUUGAAUCCCUGGCAAUAUUAAUUUUCCUACUAGCUGAGCAUCCAGGCUUUUCACUGGAAAAAAUUAAGCUACAGCUUUCUGUUCAGCUUUGAGUUUCCCAUGGCAGUGAAAGAAGAAUAAUACUGAAAGAAAUCCCAACAAGAGGGAAACAACAAAGACGUGCUUCUAGUGUCUACACACUACCCUCUAGACAAGAACACUUAAACUACAUACCAAAAGAUGUCAGCAGGAUUUUCAGAAUAAGUAAUUUCUUUUUCUCUUCUACAUAAAACCUGGGUGAACUGGAGACGCUGGCUAACAGGCAUAUAGUUAAGUCUCUGAGGAGUCAAGUCACAUGAGGUGAUGAAGAAUGCACACUUUGAGACAAAGUUACAAUGAGGACAUCAGGGGCGCCUGGCUGGCUUAGUCGAAGAGCAUGAGACUCUCAAUCUCAGAGUCCUGAGUUCAAGCCUGGGUGCAGUUAAAUGAAGAAAUAUUACAAUGUAUCAAACUGAUUAUUAUUUUAAAAGGGAGAGAUCUCAAGUAGGUCUGAAGGACACUGAUGAACAUUGCACACUAAAGGCCUGUUGAACAAAUAGGAUUAAUAAAGCCACAGACAAAAAUGAAGUAACAGAACAGAAUGGGAUGAAAGAAGUCUAACAUGUAUAAAAUAUCAACAUUGACACAGAUGCGGUGGGGCCCUAUCCCAUAAAUGAGAUUAUUUAAUACUCACAACAAACCCCAACAUAAGCGUUAGCCCCGUUCUCACAGAUGAAACACUAAUCUUAAUGAGAGGCCCGUGUUUCAAACAGGGCCAGUCCUCAAAGCCCAGGCCUUUUCUGUGGAACAGUCCUAUCAGUCUUGCUGAUUUCUAUUUAGACUUUUGGGAGUUGUAAGACUAAAAAUGUCAAAUUUAACCAGAAAAAUGACCCUAAAAGAAAGUGAGAAAGUUGCCAAAGGCUACUUCUCCAAAGGCACAGGCCUAACUGCUUUCAUAGGAGAAUUCUACCAAACUUUGCAAGAACAGAGAGCCACAUUCAAUUUAAACUGUGCCAGAGCACAGAAGAAAAAACUUCCCAAUAACUUUUUACAAAGUCAGCAGAACACUGAUACCAAAACAUGACAAAGAUAACAUUUUCCAAAUAAAUAAAAUAUCAGAUAGAUAUAAUAUUUUUAUUUAAAAUUUUUGUAGGUACAACCCAGUGAUGCAUUACAAGACCAUCCCAUCUAAGCCCAGAAAUGCAAGGGUGGAUAUGUAUUAUACAAGUACUAUUAAUUUAACAAGUCAAAGGAGAAAAAACAGAAUGACUAUCUCCACAGAUGAUGAAUAUACAGGUAACAAAAUUCAACAGCAAUUCCUGACUUUUAA